rnacentral:rRNA from 1 species
GAUUAUGGCUCAGGAUGAACGCUAGCUACAGGCUUAACACAUGCAAGUCGAGGGGCAGCAUGGGAGUUGCUUGCAAUUCCUGAUGGCGACCGGCGCACGGGUGAGUAACGCGUAUCCAACCUUCCCCUUAGUAGGGCAUAGCCCGGUGAAAAUCGGAUUAAUACCCUAUGUUCUUCACAGCGGACAUCUAACGUGAAGCAAAGGUUCACCGCUAAGGGAUGGGGAUGCGUCUGAUUAGGUAGUCGGCGGGGUAACGGCCCACCGAGCCAUCGAUCAGUAGGGGUUCUGAGAGGAAGGUCCCCCACAUUGGAACUGAGACACGGUCCAAACUCCUACGGGAGGCAGCAGUGAGGAAUAUUGGUCAAUGGGCGCGAGCCUGAACCAGCCAAGUAGCGUGCCAGGAUGACGGCCCUAUGGGUUGUAAACUGCUUUUAUGCGGGGAUAAAGUCACCCACGUGUGGGUGUUUGCAGGUACCGCAUGAAUAAGGACCGGCUAAUUCCGUGCCAGCCGCCGC